UGAAGCUGCCAGCAUGAUCUAU
rnacentral:ncRNA from 2 species